rnacentral:rRNA from 1 species
AAUCGAAGCCCCAGUAAACGGCGGCCGUAACUAUAACGGUCCUAAGGUAGCGAAAUUCCUUGUCGGGUAAGUUCCGACCCGCACGAAAGGCGUAACGAUUUGGGCACUGUCUCAACGAGAGACUCGGUGAAAUCAUAGUACCUGUGAAGAUGCAGGUUACCCGCGACAGGACGGAAAGACCCCGUGGAGCUUUACUGUAGCCUGAUAUUGAAAUUCGGCACAGCUUGUACAGGAUAGGUAGGAGCCU